rnacentral:miRNA from 1 species
UAUAUAUGCAUAUGUGUGUGUAUAUGUACAUAUAUGUGUAUGUAUAUUCCCUCUAACUACCCUAAUACUGAAAA